ensembl:lncRNA
GAUGUAUUAUUAAGUUAUUAUUAAGUUAAAAUAAGUGUUCAUUCAGUAUUGUUGUAAUUGUCAUUAUUACAAAUAAAAUAAAAUAAAGCUUUUUUGGUCUUCAAAUAAUCGGUAUCGGUAUCGGCGUUGAAAAAUCAUAAUCGGUCGACCUCUAAUUUCAAGUGAACUUUCAAUAACAAGUUUACAAUCUGGACCUCUUUUAGGGCAGCGAUCCGCCUACACCCGUUGAUAUUUCACAGGUCUAGGACAGCUCUGGGCUUGACCUCUCUUCCUGACCUUGUGCGAUAUGAUGCAGAGCAUGCUUCUGUGUCAGUCAACAGUUCUUGUGGUGUUGCAGGUAAGUAUGUUGUAUGUUGUGCUGUGUGUGUGUUUAGUCCAUCACAUUAUCUUUCAGGGGAACAGUUAAUUUCAUCAGUAUGUUGUUAUUUUGUGUUCAGUAGGUGACAACGAUUGCGGCGGUAGACCGCUCCUUCUGCGGUGCGGAUGUGAUAUGAACGUUCAGUGUCAGCUGGCUGGAUGACGACUGCUGGCUUCCAGAGGCCAUGCUCCUGGAUUCUAACUGACUCUCCGUCGAUCAGUGGUGGCAGUGGUCUAGCUGACCUGUCGUAGUAUCGCUUUCGCUGCUGGUUGGUGCUGGGAAGGACUGAGCGAAGUCUGCGGCUCAUCAACAGCUGGGCUGGUGAUUUUAAGUUGUCAACUGGAGUGUUGCAGUAUUCAAGGAGACUGAGGGCCAAGCCUCAGGACUACCUGGCCUGGUGAUUCCUUGCUGUCCCCAGUCCAUCUGGUUGUGCUGCUGUUCCAGUCUCAACUAUUCUGCCUGCGGCUAUGGAACCCUGACCUGUUCACCGGACGUGCUACCUGUCCCAGACUGGCUGUUUUCAACACUCUAGAGACACUCUGAAUGAUCGGCUAUGAAAAGCCAACUGACAUUCACUCCUGAGGUGCUGACCUGUUGCACCCUCGACAACCACUGUGAUUAUUAUUCUUUGACCCUGCUGGUCAUCUAUGAACAUUUGAACAUCUUGGCCAUGUUCUGUUAUAAUCUCUACCCGGCACAGCCAGAAGAGGACUGGCAACCCCUCAAAGCCUGGUUCCUCUCUAGGUUUCUUCCUAAGUUUUGGCCUUUCUAGGGAGUUUUUCCUAGCCACCGUGCUUCUACACCUGCAUUGCUUGCUGUUUGGGGUUUUAGACUGUGUUUCUGUACAGCACUUUGAGAUAUCAGCUGAUGUAAGAAGGGCUUUUUAAAACAUUUUUGAUUGAUACAACCACCUAAAAGGAAGCGAUUCCCAAACCUUCCAUAACAAAGCCAUCACCUACAGAGAGAUGAACCUGGAGAAGAGUCCCCUAAGCAAGCUGGUCCUGGGACUCUAGCCCCAGGACAGCAACACAGUUAGACCCAACCAAAUCAUGAGAAAACAAAUUAUUACUUGACACAUUGGAAAGAAUUAACAAAAAAACAGAGCUAACUAGAAUGCUAUUUGGCCCUAAACAGAGACUACACAGUGGCAGAAUACCUGACCACUGGGACUGACCCAAACUUAAGGAAAGCUUUGACUAUGUACAGACUCAGUGAGCAUAGCCUUGCUAUUGAGAAAGGCUGUCGUAGGCAGACCUGUCUCUCAAGAGAAGACAGGCUAUGUGCUCACUGCCCACAAAAGGAGGUGGAAACUGAUCUGCACUUCCUAACCUCCUGCAAGAUUACACAGAUCCACAAAAUUCAAAAACAAACUCAAUUUUGAUAAACUCCCAUAUCUACUGGGUGAAAUACCACAGUGUGCCAUCACAGCAGCAAGAUUUGUGACCUGUUACCACAAGAAAAGGGCAACCAGUGAAGAACAAACACCAUUGUAAAUACAACCCAUAUUUAUGUUUAUUUAUUUUACCUUUUGCACAUCAUUACAACACUGUAUAUAGACAUAAUAUGACAUUUGAAAUACCUUUAUUCUUUUGGAACUUCUGUGAGUGUAAUGUUUACUGUAAAUUUGUGUUGGUUAUUUCACUUUUGUUUAUUAUCUACUUCACGUGCUUUGGCAAUGUUAACAUAUGUUUCCCAUGCCAAUAAAGCCCUUGAAUUUAAUUGAAUUGAGAAAGGGAUACAGAGAGAGAGAGGGG